CAAAUUCCUUUUUCGGUUAAAGAUCUCGUCGAGAACGGGUGUGCGCGCAAACGAAUCUUUUGUAAGAAGUGCCAUCAUAGGAAAAUUCCAUUGUGAAACAACUCGACACGGUACGGAAAAGACAUACCUUUCGGUUGAUCGCGAUAUUUUGGCUCACGCACCCGCUGAUUCCCUUGCUCGUACAAGUGGAGUGACGGGGCACGGGAGUGUCGCGACAGAUCCCGCUCGGAGGAAAGACGCCACAGCUUCAAAGACCGGACGGUCUUUCGCUUAUUGCGUGGGGCAGCGACCCACGCUAUUUAAACGCACCCCAUCGUCCAGUCGCCGGCUAAGUAAGCCGCAGAGCGCAGUCAGCCGGGGGCUGGAAUAAGCAAACGCCUUCCCGCUUGGGACCCUUCGCCUGCGAGGAGCACCCUAGACAGGGUUAAACAGCAGCGCGCGCCAAGGCGCGUGAAGAAGAAGCAGGAGCAAAUCAGGGAUGCUGCAGUGCUAAAGCCACCUGCGGCCUUCGUUUUCUCGGUUGCCCGAGCGCAGACCAUGCUGCAGCGAUGAAGCCAACUGCGGCCAUCGUCUUCCUGGUUGCCCAAUCGUCGGCCAAACAGAGGCAGAAUUCUCCGCCUUCGGCUGUCCUCUUCGCCCCGACUCUGUCCAGGAUUCCUCUUCCAGCAGCUUCAGGGAGCACAGUUCACCAAAUCAUAGGGUUCAGCGGAUGCUAGUCUCGUCUAUUACCAUCCUAAUGUUUAAAGUAUAAAAAUCUCACAAAAUUUGUAUAUUCAUGAAGAAUAAUUAUCAGCUAACCUCAUUAACGUUCAAGUUCCCCCUGGGAGUUCGGGAAAUGUGUUCAGAAUUUGCAGUUAUAAGUAUUGUUAAGACAUCGCUAGUUUAAUUCAUUUUCGUUACACAUUCGUUAAACUCAUAUCAGCUUAAGCAAUCUUUAUAAAUAUUCACAAGCUAUUGUUGUCAGUUAAGUUCGGAUUGAAUUGUCAGGGAGAAAAUUCCCCCAAAAGUUCUGUGGCUCCACAUACAAGGAGUAGGUCGAAGUUGGGAAUUCUGAGUUGUAGCAAGAGAUAGAGUCUUCGUACUGUAAACCACCUUUCCGAAUUAACGCUUGUUUUCAGCCUACGCCGGAAGAUCGAUCUUUCGUCGUUGGAAAUUGAACAGUGAGUGAGUAAGCAUACCUUCCAAAAGUUGAAAUGUACGUAGUUUUGAAAACCAACUGAUCCUUGCCCAACCUCGCGAAUUUGAAACCUCUGACCCCUGCCUAUUGAGGCUUUGCCUUGAGCGAUCUGAUCGUUGGCUAAUUAGAGAUGCCAUCUGCAUCCAGUCAUCGACUGAACUCCGCAUAGGAGAUCACGUUUUGUCAGCCAGACCGCCUCUUUGAUUUUCGACUCAUUCCGAAGUUAAAAGAUUUAAUGAUUUUUCCACAUUUUUGCGAAAAGCGAAAGUAACGAACUUAAAGUAUUCAAUGAUUUUCCCAUGUUAUGCGAAAAGCGAAAUUUAUGAAUUUAAUUAGAAUUUAACUCGAAUUACAGUCUUAUUAUAUAUAUACUCAUUACAUUAUCAAAUAUCCUUAUAUACCCAACCAUUACGAAUCACCUAUUUUUAGUAGUUAUUAAGAUCAUUUACUAUGUUGCCAUAUCGGAUUUAAUUUUUGUUUUAAGGAAAUAAUGUUGAAGUUUAGAUAAAAGAACAAAAUGGACUCAAUGCUA